rnacentral:rRNA from 1 species
AACAGCCGCGGUAAUUCCAGCUCCAAUAGCGUAUAUUAAAGUUGUUGCAGUUAAAAAGCUCGUAGUUGAAUUUCGGGGUCAAUACGUCGGUCGUGCCUUCGGUACGUACUGGCGUUAUUGAUCUCUCCCUUCUGAUGAAUCAUGAUGUCAUUAAUUUGGUGUCGUGGGGAGUCAGGACUGUUACUUUGAAAAAAUUAGAGUGUUUAAAGCAGGCUCACGCUUGAAUACAUUAGCAUGGAAUAAUGAAAUAGGACGUUCGAUCCUAUUUUGUUGGUUUCUAGGAUCAACGUAAUGAUUAAUAGGGAUAGUUGGGGGCAUUAGUAUUCAAUUGUCAGAGGUGAAAUUCUUGGAUUUAUUGAAGACUAACUACUGCGAAAGCAUUUGUCCAAGGAUGUUUUCAUUAAUCAAGAACGAAAGUUAGGGGAUCGAAGACGAUCAGAUACCGUCGUA